rnacentral:rRNA from 1 species
GACGAACGCUGGCGGCGUGCUUAACACAUGCAAGUCGAGCGGUAAGGCCCUUCGGGGUACACGAGCGGCGAACGGGUGAGUAACACGUGGGUGAUCUGCCUUGCACUCUGGGAUAAGCCUGGGAAACUGGGUCUAAUACCGGAUAUGACCUCCGAUCGCAUGGUCGGGGGUGGAAAGAUUUAUCGGUGCAAGAUGAGCCCGCGGCCUAUCAGCUUGUUGGUGGGGUAAUGGCCUACCAAGGCGACGACGGGUAGCCGGCCUGAGAGGGCGACCGGCCACACUGGGACUGAGACACGGCCCAGACUCCUACGGGAGGCAGCAGUGGGGAAUAUUGCACAAUGGGCGGAAGCCUGAUGCAGCGACGCCGCGUGAGGGAUGACGGCCUUCGGGUUGUAAACCUCUUUCGACUCCGACGAAGCGAAAGUGACGGUAGGAGUAUAAGAAGCACCGGCCAACUACGUG